rnacentral:rRNA from 1 species
AGAGUUUGAUCCUGGCUCAGGACGAACGCUGGCGGCGUGCCUAACACAUGCAAGUGGAGCGACGGACCAGGGCUUGCCCUGGGGCCAAGCCGCGAACGGGUGAGUAACACGUGGGUAACCUGCCCCGAUGACCGGGACAACCCGAGGAAACUCGGGCUAAUACCGGAUGUGCUCGCCGCACUCAAGUGCUGCGAGCAAAGGAAGCUUCGGCCUCCGCUUCGGGAGGGGCCCGCGGCCCAUUAGCUUGUUGGUGAGGUAACGGCUCACCAAGGCUGCGAUGGGUAGCUGGUCUGAGAGGACGAUCAGCCACACUGGGACUGAGACACGGCCCAGACUCCUACGGGAGGCAGCAGUGGGGAAUCUUGCGCAAUGCGCGAAAGCGUGACGCAGCCACGCCGCGUGGGGGAAGAAGGCCUUCGGGUUGUAAACCCCUUUCAGGAGGGACGAAGGUGCGGCGGCGAACAGCCGACCGUACUGACGGUACCUCCAGAAGAAGCCCCGGCUAACUACGUGCCAGCAGCCGCGGUA